rnacentral:rRNA from 1 species
GAGAGUUUGAUCCUGGCUCAGGAUGAACGCUAGCUACAGGCUUAACACAUGCAGGUCGAGGGGCAGCAUUUCAGUUUGCUUGCAAACUGGAGAUGGCGACCGGCGCACGGGUGAGUAACACGUAUCCAACCUGCCGAUAACUCGGGGAUAGCCUUUCGAAAGAAAGAUUAAUACCCGAUGGCAUAAUUAGACCGCAUGGUCUUAUUAUUAAAGAAUUUCGGUUAUCGAUGGGGAUGCGUUCCAUUAGGCAGUUGGUGAGGUAACGGCUCACCAAACCUUCGAUGGAUAGGGGUUCUGAGAGGAAGGUCCCCCACAUUGGAACUGAGACACGGUCCAAACUCCUACGGGAGGCAGCAGUGAGGAAUAUUGGUCAAUGGACGCGAGUCUGAACCAGCCAAGUAGCGUGAAGGAUGACUGCCCUAUGGGUUGUAAACUUCUUUUAUAUGGGAAUAAAGUUUUCCACGUGUGGAAUUUUGUAUGUACCAUAUGAAUAAGGAUCGGCUAACUCCGUGCCAGCAGCCGCGGUAAUACGGAGGAUCCGAGCGUUAUCCGGAUUUAUUGGGUUUAAAGGGAGCGUAGGUGGACAGUUAAGUCAGUUGUGAAAGUUUGCGGCUCAACCGUAAAAUUGCAGUUGAUACUGGCUGUCUUGAGUACAGUAGAGGUGGGCGGAAUUCGUGGUGUAGCGGUGAAAUGCUUAGAUAUCACGAAGAACUCCGAUUGCGAAGGCAGCUCACUGGACUGCAACUGACACUGAUGCUCGAAAGUGUGGGUAUCAAACAGGAUUAGAUACCCUGGUAGUCCACACAGUAAACGAUGAAUACUCGCUGUUUGCGAUAUACAGUAAGCGGCCAAGCGAAAGCAUUAAGUAUUCCACCUGGGGAGUACGCCGGCAACGGUGAAACUCAAAGGAAUUGACGGGGGCCCGCACAAGCGGAGGAACAUGUGGUUUAAUUCGAUGAUACGCGAGGAACCUUACCCGGGCUUAAAUUGCAUUUGAAUAAUCUGGAAACAGGUUAGCCGCAAGGCAAAUGUGAAGGUGCUGCAUGGUUGUCGUCAGCUCGUGCCGUGAGGUGUCGGCUUAAGUGCCAUGACGAGCGCAACCCUUAUCUUUAGUUACUAACAGGUCAUGCUGAGGACUCUAGAGAGACUGCCGUCGUAAGAUGUGAGGAAGGUGGGGAUGACGUCAAAUCAGCACGGCCCUUACGUCCGGGGCUACACACGUGUUACAAUGGGGGGUACAGAAGGCAGCUACCUGGUGACAGGAUGCUAAUCCCAAAAGCCUCUCUCAGUUCGGAUCGAAGUCUGCAACCCGACUUCGUGAAGCUGGAUUCGCUAGUAAUCGCGCAUCAGCCAUGGCGCGGUGAAUACGUUCCCGGGCCUUGUACACACCGCCCGUCAAGCCAUGAAAGCCGGGGGUACCUGAAGUACGUAACCGCAAGGAGCGUCCUAGGGUAAAACUGGUAAUUGGGGCUAAGUCGUAACAAGGUAGCCG